rnacentral:rRNA from 1 species
GUGGGGAAUAUUGGACAAUGGGCGAAAGCCUGAUCCAGCCAUGCCGCGUGUGUGAAGAAGGUCUUCGGAUUGUAAAGCACUUUAAGUUGGGAGGAAGGGCAGUAAGUUAAUACCUUGCUGUUUUGACGUUACCAACAGAAUAAGCACCGGCUAACUUCGUGCCAGCAGCCGCGGUAAUACGAAGGGUGCAAGCGUUAAUCGGAAUUACUGGGCGUAAAGCGCGCGUAGGUGGUUCAGCAAGUUGAAGGUGAAAUCCCCGGGCUCAACCUGGGAACUGCGUUCAAAACUGCUGAGCUAGAGUACGGUAGAGGGUGGUGGAAUUUCCUGUGUAGCGGUGAAAUGCGUAGAUAUAGGAAGGAACACCAGUGGCGAAGGCGACCACCUGGACUGAUACUGACACUGAGGUGCGAAAGCGUGGGGAGCAAACAGGAUUAGAAACCCUUGUAGUCC